rnacentral:rRNA from 1 species
CCUACGGGGGGCAGCAGUGAGGAAUAUUGGUCAAUGGACGAGAGUCUGAACCAGCCAAGUAGCGUGAAGGAUGACUGCCCUAUGGGUUGUAAACUUCUUUUAUAUGGGAAUAAAACGUUCCACGUGUGGGAUUUUGUAUGUACCAUAUGAAUAAGGAUCGGCUAACUCCGUGCCAGCAGCCGCGGUAAUACGGAGGAUCCGAGCGUUAUCCGGCUUUAUUGGGUUUAAAGGGAGCGUAGGUGGAUUGUUAAGUCAGUUGUGAAAGUUUGCGGCUCAACCGUAAAAUUGCAGUUGAAACUGGCAGUCUUGAGUACAGUAGAGGUGGGCGGAAUUCGUGGUGUAGCGGUGAAAUGCUUAGAUAUCACGAAGAACUCCGAUUGCGAAGGCAGUUCACUGGACUGCAACUGACACUGAGGCUCGAAAGUGUGGGUAUCAAACAGGAGUAGAUACCCCGGUAGUC